rnacentral:rRNA from 1 species
CCGGCAACUCCGUGCCAGCAGCCGCGGUAAUACGGAGGGGUGCGAGCGUUAAUCGGAAUUACUGGGCGUAAAGCGCAUGCAGGCGGCCUGUAAGUCAGAUGUGAAAGCCCGGGGCUUAACCUCGGAAUUGCAUUUGAAACUGGCAGGCUAGAGUCUUGUAGAGGGGGGUAGGAAUUUCAGGUGUAGCGGUGAAAUGCGUAGAGAUCUGAAGGAAUACCAGUGGCGAAGGCGGCCCCCUGGACAAAGACUGACGCUCAGAUGCGAAAGCGUGGGGAGCAAACAGGAUUAGAUACCCUGGUAG